rnacentral:rRNA from 1 species
GACAGAGGCCUCGAGCGUUAGGCGGAAUCACUGGGCUUAAAGCGUGUGUAGGCGGGCCCGUAAGUGUCUUGUGAAAUCCCACGGCUCAACCGUGGAACUGCUGGGCAUACUGCGGGUCUUGGGCCAACUAGGGGCAGCCGGAACAAGCGGUGGAGCGGUGAAAUGCGUAGAUAUCGCUUGGAACGCCGAAGGUGAAAACAGGCUGCUGGGGUUGCGCCGACGCGUGAGACACGAAAGCCCAGGG